rnacentral:rRNA from 1 species
UUCGCCCUUAGAGUUUGAUCCUGGCUCAGGACGAACGCUGGCGGCGCGCCUAACACAUGCAAGUCGAACGGAGCAAAUUUGAUUGAAGUUUUCGGAUGGAUUUCGAGUUUGCUUAGUGGCGAACGGGUGAGUAACGCGUGAGCAAUCUGCCUCAGAGUGGGGGACAACAGUUGGAAACGACUGCUAAUACCGCAUAAGCCCACGGGAUCGCAUGAUACUGCGGGAAAAGAUUUAUCGCUUUGAGAUGAGCUCGCGUCCAAUUAGCUAGUUGGUGAGGUAACGGCCCACCAAGGCGACGAUUGGUAGCCGGACUGAGAGGUUGAACGGCCACAUUGGGACUGAGAUACGGCCCAGACUCCUACGGGAGGCAGCAGUGGGGAAUAUUGCACAAUGGGGGAAACCCUGAUGCAGCGACGCCGCGUGGAGGAAGAAGGUCUUCGGAUUGUAAACUCCUGUUGUUGAGGACGAUAAUGACGGUACUCAACAAGGAAGCCACGGCUAACUACGUGCCAGCAGCCGCGGUAAAACGUAGGUGGCAAGCGUUGUCCGGAAUUACUGGGUGUAAAGGGAGCGCAGGCGGGAUGACAAGUUGGAAGUGAAAACUAUGGGCUCAACCCAUAGCCUGCUUUCAAAACUGUUAUUCUUGAGUAGUGCAGAGGUAGGCGGAAUUCCCGGUGUAGCGGUGGAAUGCGUAGAUAUCGGGAGGAACACCAGUGGCGAAGGCGGCCUACUGGGCACCAACUGACGCUGAGGCUCGAAAGUAUGGGUAGCAAACAGGAUUAGAUACCCUGGUAGUCCAUACCGUAAACGAUGAUUACUAGGUGUUGGAGGAUUGACCCCUUCAGUGCCGCAGUUAACACAAUAAGUAAUCCACCUGGGGAGUACGACCGCAAGGUUGAAACUCAAAGGAAUUGACGGGGGCCCGCACAAGCAGUGGAGUAUGUGGUUUAAUUCGAAGCAACGCGAAGAACCUUACCAGGUCUUGACAUCCGAUGCAUAGCGUAGAGAUACGUGAAGUCCUUCGGGACAUCGAGACAGGUGGUGCAUGGUUGUCGUCAGCUCGUGUCGUGAGAUGUUGGGUUAAGUCCCGCAACGAGCGCAACCCUUAUCGUCAGUUACUACGCAAGAGGACUCUGGCGAGACUGCCGUUGACAAAACGGAGGAAGGUGGGGAUGACGUCAAGUCAUCAUGCCCCUUAUGACCUGGGCUACACACGUACUACAAUGGCGCAAACAAAGGGAAGCAAUCCCGCGAGGGUGAGCAAAUCCCCAAAAGGCGUCCCAGUUCGGACUGCAGGCUGCAACCCGCCUGCACGAAGUUGGAAUUGCUAGUAAUCGCGGAUCAGCAUGCCGCGGUGAAUACGUUCCCGGGCUUUGUACACACCGCCGGUCA